rnacentral:rRNA from 1 species
GAUGAACGCUGGCGGCGUGCCUAAUACAUGCAAGUCGAGCGAACAGACGAGGAGCUUGCUCCUCUGACGUUAGCGGCGGACGGGUGAGUAACACGUGGAUCACCUACCUAUAAGACUGGGAUCACUUCGGGAAACCGGCGCUAAUACCGGAUAAUCUAUUGAACCGCAUGGUUCAAUAGUGAAAGACGGUUUUGCUGUCACUUCUAGAUGGAUCCGCGCCUCAUUAGCUAGUUGGUAAGGUAACGGCUUACCAAGGCAACGAUGCGUAGCCGACCUGAGAGGGUGAUCGGCCACACUGGAACGGAGACACGGUCCAGACUCCUACGGGAGGCAGCAGUAGGGAAUCUUCCGCAAUGGGCGAAAGCCCGACGGAGCAACGCCGCGUGAGUGAUGAAGGUCUUCGGAUCGUAAAACUCUGUUAUUAGGGAAGAACAAAUGUGGAAGUAACUAUGCACGUCUUGACGGUACCUAAUCAGAAAGCCACGGCUAACUACGUG